rnacentral:rRNA from 2 species
UCUCCGUUGGUGACCAGCGGAGGGAUCAUUA